CGAGAGGCCGACUUUCGACUCGAUCAACAAAUACCUCAAAGUAAUGGCGUACGGAAUACUAUCAAUGUAAGUGGGGAUUUCGCGUAAAUAGUGAGUGUUCGGAGAUUUCAAAGGUCCUGCACCCCCCAAGAAAGACCUGACUGGCUUCUGCCGCUGGUGGAGUGUCAUUUACCCCGGAUUUCAAGUAUGAAGGCCUCCCAUGACAGAUCAAUUUGGGGCCAAAGUGACAUUCAGAAUUGAUGAACUUUGUUCGGUUUAUUUGGGCUGCUCAGCUUACAAAUUGAUGACCAAGCCUAUCAGGACGGUGUUGCCAGGAUGGUUGAGGUGAUGGCUCCUACUAUCCCAGUUCUCCACCAGGCUUGGAGUCAAGUUUGACUUUUGAAAGCCAUCCAGGUUGCUUGCCAACUUGACAAUCCACGCUACCAGAUAAAACAACAAUUAUAGCUUUCAUUGGCCGGAACAUUCUGUCAUAAAGAACUUGAAUGAUCAGUAACCCAAGUUCUCAAGUGCAUUUGCAACCAUUGUGUUCAAUAAUGAGUGUGGAAGGACCAUGUCCAGGUCGCAAUUGAUACUCAGGCCUGGCAGAUCCAAUCCAGGAGCUCCAACUCUAUGUACUAUUCUAUGUAUUGUGUUUUGGAGAGUAGAGCCACAAUAAUUUCCAAACACCAAAGUGAAAAGAUCAGUGAAAGGACAUCAAAGUGCGAAUGAAGUUAUUCCUGAGAAAUUGUGCCAAGCCAAUCAUAAUAAACCCAUCAGACGACGUGGUUCUCUUGGCUGAUUCAGCCGUGGAAUUUCACAAUGCCAUCAAUGCACUCCAUUCCAAGAGAACGGCCUUCAAGUCAAUAACAUCAAGACAAAGGCCAUGGUUUUCCAUAAAGGUUGUCUGCCUCCCACCUCCUUCCAUAUCCACCAUAGUCCAAUUGAAAUCUUCAAUGAUUUUAAUUAUGUCGGUUUCACAUUCUCCACUCAACUUUCCUUCACCAACCAUCUCAAAUCAUCAAUAGCCAAAGCCAGGGCCAGGAUCAGAUACGUACAUGUGCAAUAGACUUCCUAUCAAGAAUCUCCCCCUUCCAAUAGUUCUUCAACUCUUCCAGACCUACAUCACUCCACCUUUGGCUUUCCAACUCCCCCCAAUCCGCCCUCAAAUCCGCCGAUACCACCUUCACCAAGUUCCUCAAACGAUACGUGUGCGUGCCCCAAUAGGCCAAUAAUGCAUGGACGCAUUUUCUAUGAGAAACCGAGCCCCUCACCAUCGGGCUGGCAAGAUUCAAACCAGGGCGGGAAACGGCGUAACUUUCCGCCGAUCCAGUGUAUGAUACGUAUUUAUACAUACAGUUUUAUACAUGCCAAAAGACGGGGAGACGCCCACCGGACGGGAAGACGCCACUGAAUGGAAGAAUCGCCC